GCCCCCUUAGUUAAGUGGCAUAACAGAUCCAUGGUAAGGACCCGUUGCUAGUUCGAUUCUGGCAGGGGGCACCA
rnacentral:tRNA from 1 species